GGUUGUGUAGUGUAGCGGUUAUCACACUGGAUUCUGAUUGAAUCUCUGAAUGUUCCAGUGACCCCGGUUCGAUUCCGGGCACGACCU
rfam:Oidiodendron maius Zn unplaced genomic scaffold scaffold_3, whole genome shotgun sequence.